rnacentral:rRNA from 1 species
CCUACGGGGGGCAGCAGUGAGGAAUAUUGGUCAAUGGCCGGAAGGCUGAUCCAGCCAUGCCGCGUGAAGGUCAGUGCCCUAUGGGCGUUAAACUUCUUUUGUGCGGGCGCAAUAAUGGUCACGUGUGGCCAGACGAGAGUACCGUACGAAUAAGCAUCGGCUAACUCCGUGCAAGCAGCCGCGGUAAUCCGGGGGCUGCAAGCGUUAUCCGGAUUUAUUGGGUUUAAUGGGUGCGUAGGCGGUUUGUUAAGUUAGUGGUUAAACGUCGGGGCUUCACCUUGAUUUGCCAUUAAUACUGUAAGACUCGAGUUCAGACGAGGUAGACGGAAUAAGUGAAGUAGCGGUGAAAUGCUUAGAUAUAACUUAGAACACCGAUAGCGAAGGCAGCUUACCAGACUGCGACUGACGCUGAAGCACGAGAGCGUGGGGAGCGAACAGGAUUAGAUACCCGGGUAGUC